rnacentral:rRNA from 1 species
CAGUCGCCGCGGGAAUACGAAGGGUGCAAGCGUUAAUCGGAAUUACUGGGCGUAAAGCGUGCGUAGGCGGUGAGUUAAGUCUGCUGUGAAAUCCCCGGGCUCAACCUGGGAAUGGCAGUGGAUACUGGCUCGCUAGAGUGUGUCAGAGGAUGGUGGAAUUCCCGGUGUAGCGGUGAAAUGCGUAGAGAUCGGGAGGAAUAUCAGUGGCGAAGGCGGCCAUCUGGGACAACACUGACGCUGAGGCACGAAUGCGUGGGGAGCAAACAGGAUUAGAUACCCGCGUAGUCCCUGUCUCUUAUAC